CUACCUCAUCACGGGAGCCCGGCGCACCGGGCUGAGAGGCGGGCUGUGCGGCCCGCGACCGUCCGAACCUGAUCCGGGUCAUGCCGGCGAAGGGAGAAGAAGCGCUGUGGCA
rnacentral:ncRNA from 2 species